rnacentral:rRNA from 1 species
UGGGGAAUAUUGGACAAUGGGGGCAACCCUGAUCCAGCAAUGCCGCGUGUGUGAAGAAGGCCUGCGGGUUGUAAAGCACUUUUGGCAGGGAUGAAAAGCACUGGAUUAAUAACCCAGUGUGUUGACCUAACCUGCAGAAGAAGCACCGGCUAACUCUGUGCCAGCAGCCGCGGUAAUACAGGGGGUGCGAGCGUUAAUCGGAAUUACUGGGCGUAAAGGGCGCGUAGGCGGUCGAGUAAGUCGGAUGUGAAAUCCCCGGGCUCAACCUGGGAACUGCAUUCAAAACUGACUGACUAGAGUAUGGUAGAGGGUGGUGGAAUUUCCUGUGUAGCGGUGAAAUGCGUAGAUAUAGGAAGGAACACCAGUGGCGAAGGCGACCACCUGGACUGAUACUGACACUGAGGUGCGAAAGCGUGGGGAGCAAACAGGAUUAGAUACCCAGUAGUCCCUGAGCGGGCUGGCAAGGCGCAU